CAUACGGGUCUCCGUUCUCCUCCCACCUCACCCUAGCGCCGCCUCCCUCACGGCGUCUCGUUCCUUGCCCCUAAACCACCCCCUCCUACCCGAGCGAUGGCUGCACCAGGAUGCGUGGAAUCAUGUUGCUUGGUGAUGGGCUCCAUUGCCAGACACCGAACAGCAUCGGCGGGCAAGCCGCGGCGGCGCGUCGGCGCUGUCUACCGAGGGGCGGCACUGCGGGCCGCAAGACGAUGGCGUAAGGCACGAGUCUAUGACGCCAGGCAUGGGAAGCCUCGGCAUCCCGUUCCCAUCCAGUCAUCCAAGCCUCCGGUCGACUGAAGCUCACCUGGGCCGCCUUGCUCAUCGCAUCUCGAUGGGAUCAUCGUGAGCGAGUCCUUCCGGAUGCUAAAGUUUGGACGUCAGCACAUGGUGAAGCCAAGUGACACUCUUAUUUUUCUUUCAUACAUGACCGUUGUGGUGCGUAGAAGAAAGUUCUAAGCUGGGAUUGCAAAAAUUUGAGGAUUUCCCCACAU